rnacentral:rRNA from 1 species
AACGAACGCUGGCGGCAUGCCUAACACAUGCAAGUCGAACGAGACCUUCGGGUCUAGUGGCGCACGGGUGCGUAACGCGUGGGAACCUGCCCUUAGGUUCGGAAUAACUCCCCGAAAGGGGUGCUAAUACCGGAUAAUGUCUUCGGACCAAAGAUUUAUCGCCUUUGGAUGGGCCCGCGUUGGAUUAGCUAGUUGGCAGGGUAAAAGCCUACCAAGGCGACGAUCCAUAGCUGGUCUGAGAGGAUGAUCAGCCACACUGGGACUGAGACACGGCCCAGACUCCUACGGGAGGCAGCAGUGGGGAAUAUUGGACAAUGGGCGAAAGCCUGAUCCAGCAAUGCCACGUGAGUGAUGAAGGCCUUAGGGUUGUAAAGCUCUUUUACCCGGGAUGAUAAUGACAGUACCGGGAGAAUAAGCUCCGGCUAACUCCGUG